GCGUAACGCGUGGGAAUCUGCCUUUAGGUUCGGAAUAACGGUGAGAAAUUACUGCUAAUACCGGAUAAUGUCUUCGGACCAAAGAUUUAUCGCCUUUAGAUGGGCCCGCGUUGGAUUAGCUAGUUGGUGGGGUAAAGGCCUACCAAGGCGACGAUCCAUAGCUGGUCUGAGAGGAUGAUCAGCCACACUGGGACUGAGACACGGCCCAGACUCCUACGGGAGGCAGCAGUGGGGAAUAUUGGACAAUGGGCGAAAGCCUGAUCCAGCAAUGCCGCGUGAGUGAUGAAGGCCUUAGGGUUGUAAAAU
rnacentral:rRNA from 1 species